rnacentral:rRNA from 1 species
AAUAGAUACCCAGGUAGUCCACCCGUAAACGUUGGGAACUAGUUGUGGGUCCAUUCCACGGAUUCCGUGACGCAGCUAACGCAUUAAGUUCCCCGCCUGGGGAGUACGGCCGCAAGGCUAAAACUCAAAGGAAUUGACGGGGACCCGCACAAGCGGCGGAGCAUGCGGAUUAAUUCGAUGCAACGCGAAGAACCUUACCAAGGCUUGACAUACACGAGAACGGGCCAGAAAUGGUCAACUCUUUGGACACUCGUGAACAGGUGGUGCAUGGUUGUCGUCAGCUCGUGUCGUGAGAUGUUGGGUUAAGUCCCGCAACGAGCGCAACCCUCGUUCUAUGUUGCCAGCACGUAAUGGUGGGAACUCAUGGGAUACUGCCGGGGUCAACUCGGAGGAAGGUGGGGAUGACGUCAAAUCAUCAUGCCCCUUAUGUCUUGGGCUUCACGCAUGCUACAAUGGCCGGUACAAAGGGCUGCAAUACCGUGAGGUGGAGCGAAUCCCAAAAAGCCGGUCCAGUUCGGAUUGAGGUCUGCAACUCGA